rnacentral:rRNA from 1 species
UACAGAGGUGGCAAGCGUUGUUCGGAAUUACUGGGCGUAAAGGGCGCGUAGGCGGCUUGGUCAGUCCCGUGUGAAAUCCCUCGGCUCAACUGAGGAACUGCACGGGAAACUGCCUGGCUUGAGUUCGGGAGAGGGAAGCGGAAUUCCGGGUGUAGCGGUGAAAUGCGUAGAUAUCCGGAGGAACACCGGUGGCGAAGGCGGCUUCCUGGACCGACACUGACGCUGAGGCGCGAAAGUGUGGGGAUCAAACAGG